UUGACAAGCGGGAAAUUGAACGAGUCACACGGCGUGUCUUGCGAGAGGCAGAGAGGGGAGAUGGCCAACAAGACCCCCGAACUAGCCAGGCUACCUCCGCUUUAUCGGCUGUGACCAGUGACCACCACUCCGACCAGGAAACUGCGAUCCAGAUCAAGCUUGGCCAUCACGAGCUCUGGCCCCGUUCUUCCUGCUGUCUGCAUGAUUUGCAAGAAAGACAGCAAAUUUAUCGUCGCGAGUGGCAGACGUCAAAGAGAACGAAAACACAGACUUUAACCGCAGGCAAGUUGCAGGAAGCAGCUGAAGUAAAGGAAGCCAAGAGCAUCCUCAUUCACAUCAAGGACAGAGACUGUGUGGCUCUGGAGGUGCAGUACCACAGAAGUUGCUACAGAGAGUACACAAGGUUUUUGAGUGAGCCUGUCAGAGCAGAGAAAGAACAGAUUGGGCCAACAUUUGAUCUGAGCUACAAGUUAUUCUGCGAGAGGGUAAUCCGCUAAAGGCUACUGAUCAACCAAGAGGUGCUGAGGAUGAGCCAACUGAGGAAGGCCUUUAUUGCCCUUGUGCAGUCAAGUGAAGGUGUUGAUGCUUCAACCUACAGACAGGAUAUAUUGAAGAAGAGGCUCAGUCGUGAUUUUCCUCAGCUAGUGUUCCACACCCCCGCCAAACGCAACACAUCUGAACUGGUUUUUGCUGAGAACUUGUCGACGAAUGCAGUCUUGGACUUGUUACCAUCAGGUGCGGAGACGACUCAGUCCAGCGAAAUGAGCCAGACAGACAGCGACACAGAAAGGAGGAAGUCAAAGCAACCAACCACAGCAGAGGAGACACGGACACUUUACACAGCAGCUUUGCUUUUGAAGAGGCUGCUUAGUCACAGUCCUGGCAUGUCAUGCCCAUGGCCCCCAACUGCAGUAAACUUCAAUCUCACUGAAGUCAUUUGCUGUGGCAUGCGCAAAAGAUGUGUACCUGGAUGCUUUCACACAGUUCAUGAAAAUGCCGGUUCAUGUGUAUGCCACUUGUUUUGAUUUUUUUAUUUGUUGUAUAGUUAUUAGUGAAUAAAUGAAUACAUGAA